rnacentral:rRNA from 1 species
UUAUUGGGCGUAAAGAGCUCGUAGGCGGUUUGUCGCGUCUGCUGUGAAAGACCGGGGCUCAACUCCGGUUCUGCAGUGGGUACGGGCAGACUAGAGUGCAGUAGGGGAGACUGGAAUUCCUGGUGUAGCGGUGAAAUGCGCAGAUAUCAGGAGGAACACCGAUGGCGAAGGCAGGUCUCUGGGCUGUAACUGACGCUGAGGAGCGAAAGCAUGGGGAGCGAACAGGAUUAGAUACCCUGGUAGUCCAUGCCGUAAACGUUGGGCACUAGGUGUGGGGGACAUUCCACGUUUUCCGCGCCGUAGCUAACGCAUUAAGUGCCCCGCCUGGGGAGUACGGCCGCAAGGCUAAAACUCAAAGGAAUUGACGGGGGCCCGCACAAGCGGCGGAGCAUGCGGAUUAAUUYGAUGCAACGCGAAGAACCUUACCAAGGCUUGACAUGGACCGGAAAGACCUGGAAACAGGUGCCCCGCUUGCGGCCGGUUUACAGGUGGUGCAUGGUUGUCGUCAGCUCGUGUCGUGAGAUGUUGGGUUAAGUCCCGCAACGAGCGCAACCCUCGUUCUAUGUUGCCAGCGGUUCGGCCGGGGACUCAUAGGAGACUGCCGGGGUCAACUCGGAGGAAGGUGGGGACGACGUCAAAUCAUCAUGCCCCUUAUGUCUUGGGCUUCACGCAUGCUACAAUGGCCGGUACAAAGGGUUGCGAUACUGUGAGGUGGAGCUAAUCCCAAAAAGCCGGUCUCAGUUCGGAUUGGGGUCUGCAACUCGACCCCAUGAAGUCGGAGUCGCUAGUAAUCGCAGAUCAGCAACGCUGCGGUGAAUACGUUCCCGGGCCUUGUACACACCGCCCGUCAAGUCACGAAAGUUGGUAACACCCGAAGCCGGUGGCCUAACCCUUGUGGGGGG